UGAGACGUUGAUGAUGCUCCUAUCACCAUGGUUAUGUGAUUGGGUAUAUCUUGCCCUCGGUCCUAACUGCCACUGUCUGUGCUGAGUUUUUCAAAGUUCAUAGCAGGUUGAACAUGCUUGCUGUCAUUUUCACAGAUUCUGGUCUUUCUUAUGGGGAACCUGAGUUCCUGCAUUAAAGGUUCCCCCAGAAGAUCAAUGGAAGGUGGAUUCCAAAGAGUGGGCAAGUGAGGACCCCUUCUCUGUUACCAAGGGUGACCCCAAGGAACACAGUAAAUGGUGGCGGCUUAUUUGGCCUCCCCAGGACGGACUGGAGCAUCAGUAGUGCCUGAGUUCAUCAAAGGACAGAUGCUCAAGACACCUUGAUCACCAUUAGGUGGAAUUGAAGGAGCCAAAAAUGGGCGCAGUGGCUCCUCAGCAGAGACGCUCCUGAAUGUAUAGACAUGGGAACCACUUUCAGCAUCAAAAAAGGAAACGUUCUGCAUGCCCAUAUCCAGAAAAAUCCCCACUCGCUGUAACUUGCGGUCUACUAAGAGGAAAGUCAGCGGCACCGUGCUGGCAGAGAGGCGGCUUCCAUCCCUCAAACUCACAGUCCAGAAUCCAAGCUCUGUGGUCAGCUGGAUCUUCCCUUUGCAGUGAACAGAUUCUCUGCAGACUCCCAGGUCCCAUUCUGUGCUUGUUCCCACGUCCACCUCCCAGUAGUGGCGGCCACAGGUAAAGCGAGGGGAGCCCAGGAUGCAAACGGACACGUCAAAUCUCUCGGCAAGGUCUUGCCGAUUCUGUGUGAUGAGCCCACUUCGGACGCUCCUGAGGUCGUCAGAAAUGAGGAGGAAGUUGUUGGCUGUGUCGGCAUCCAAGGUCAUAUCCACUGUGAAAAGGAAAACAAGUUGCUCAGCAAGUGGACAGAAGCCAACCCCAUGCCUCUCUUCUACUUCAAAGGCCCAAAUAUCUCCUGACUUUAGUUUCUUUAAUUCUGUUUCUUCCUCCAAAAUCAAAACUUUUCAUGAGGAAACUUCCCUAUUUCAAAUUUUCAUAGGUAUGCUUUGUGGCAAUACGUGACUCUUAUUCACAGUAGCAAUUCUUAUUUUACUUUACGUCACGUGUUUGCUUCACUGAACUUUUCUUCAUUUAGAGUGGAGGGUCUCUGAAGGCAGACACCAUGCCCCCCUUUCUACCACCUUGAUGUGUGAACAAAUAAAUGAUAAUUAAGACAAU
rnacentral:lncRNA from 1 species